UACGAAGGGGGCGAGCGUUGUUCGGAUUUACUGGGCGUAAAGGGCGCGUAGGCGGCGGGUCAAGUCGAGUGUGAAAGCCCCGGGCUCAACCUGGGAAUUGCGCUCGAGACUGGUCUGCUUGAGUUCGGGAGAGGAGAGUGGAAUUCCCAGUGUAGAGGUGAAAUUCGUAGAUAUUGGGAAGAACACCGGUGGCGAAGGCGACUGACUGGACAGAUAUUGACGCUGAGGUGCGAAAGCGUGGGGAGCAAACAGG
rnacentral:rRNA from 1 species